UGGGGAAUAUUGCGCAAUGGGGGAAACCCUGACGCAGCAACGCCGCGUGAAGGAAGAAGGUCUUCGGAUUGUAAACUUAAGUCAACAGGGACGAGAAUGGACGGUACCUGUGGAGGAAGCCACGGCUAACUACGUGCCAGCAGCCGCGGUAAUACGUAGGUGGCAAGCGUUGUCCGGAUUUACUGGGUGUAAAGGGCGUGUAGGCGGGACUACAAGUUGGAUGUGAAAUACCGUGGCUCAACCACGGGGCUGCACCCAAAACUGUAGUUCUUGAGUAUCGGAGAGGAAAGCGGAAUUCCUAGUGUAGCGGUGAAAUGCGUAGAUAUUAGGAGGAACACCGGUGGCGAAGGCGGCUUUCUGGACGAAAACUGACGCUGAGGCGCGAAAGCGUGGGGAGCAAACA
rnacentral:rRNA from 1 species